rnacentral:rRNA from 2 species
ACCCGCUGAAUUUAAGCAUAUAAUUAAGGGGAGGAAAAGAAACCAACUCGGAUUCCCCUAGUAACGGCGAGUGAAGCGGGAAGAGCUCAUGUUGUAAAUCUCCAGCUUGCUGGCGAAUUGUAGUCUAAAGGUGCGUGCUCAGUCGUGGUCCCGGGCUAAGUCUGUUGGAAAACAGCAUCAUGGACGGUGACAAUCCGGUUCUUGCCUGGGGUCCCGCGGCGUACGAGCCGUUUCCGACGAGUCGUGUUGCUUGGGAUUGCAGCACUAAGUGGGUGGUAAAUUCCAUCUAAAGCUAAAUAUUGGUGGGAGACCGAUAGCGAACAAGUACCGUGAGGGAAAGAUGAAAAGACUUUUGAAAAGAGAGUAAAAUAGUACCUGAAACUGCUGAAAGGGAAGCGAUUGAAGUCAGUGUUGCUCCUGGUCUUUUUGCCGUCGCCCCCGUGGGGGUUGCGGCGUGGGGCCUGGAGCGUUUCAACAUGCGUUCUGUUCCGCGGGAAAUGUUCAGUGUGCUGGAACUUCGGGGAAACGCACUGUUCUUGUCGUGGUUAGGACGGAGGACCUUUGCUCCUUUGACUGCGCGUUCCUCUCUCGGGUAUGCUGGUGUCUACUGCUUGCAGUUUUCAUUUUCAUGCUUGCGACUGUGCGUGUUAUUCAUGAGCGAACAUGAUGUUGAAGAAAUGGCUUUAAUUACCCCGUCUUGAAACACGGACCAAGG